rnacentral:tRNA from 1 species
GCCCAUUAGAUAGCUCAGUUGGUUAGAGUAUGGGGCUGAUAAUGCCAAGGUUGCUGGUUUGAUUCCUGUAUGGACCA